GGCGCAUAAAGCUCCAAUGUCCAAAGUAUAUUAAUUUGUACAUAAUUUCUAAUGUAAAAUAAUUAACUUUGAACUAAUUUUAUUUAAACUAUUGAAUGAGUUAAUGAUAAGAGAUGUCAUCUCUGUGUUUAAUAGAUAUAAACGACAUUCAUACAAGUUAUUCUUGCAUGCCACCUUACGUGGUAAAUUUAUAAACGACAAUAUAUGAAAAAAUGUAUGAUACGUCAUCCGUGCCUUGAACGUACAAACAGUUUGUCAUGCACAGACCAUAGACCUUUACAACAUGUCAUCUUUGAGAUAAAUUUUUUAUCCACAUAACAUUACACAGAAGGCCAAAGAUUUAUUCUACUUCUCUUCUCCUCUCCACCAAAAUUUUGCUAUUAUCACGGCUAUUAAGAUUGCUUCAUCUAUUAAUUAGUCUUUUAUUUGCCUUAGCAGCCCUCAUUACCAACCUCCCUGGCAGCUUUGAAUACAAUGGUUGAAUUGUAAAAGCAUAAUUAUCAAAAUAAAAUUUCAUUGCAGUCAUAUCUAAUUAUCUAUCGUGAGCGUAAUACAGUAGCAGAUACAUUAAUUAAUUUGGGCGUUGCUUAUGUAAAAGUCUGCAUGAAGACUCUUGGGAGUUAUCUAAGUAUUACUUUUUAUGAUGGAUUUGUAAACUUAUUUCUUCCGCGUCUUUUUUUGUUAAUUGUAAUUAAUUUCUCAACAUUCAUAUAAAGAACAUGAUACAAAUUCGCAAAAUACUUGCUGGUUGAGCAGUUAGCAUCUACUCACUUCAUGUUUUGGGGCAUAUUUCAAAUUUCAAUACGACUGCUUUGCACGAGUGUGUUUUACUAAUGUUGAUACAACCAUCACACUUUUGGUACAAACAAUUUAUUAGUGAGUCUCUAAUUGAUUAAACAAUAAAUUGUGUUUAUUUUAGUGAUCAUAGACUAAAAAUAAACGUAAAUUUGUACCCGAAAUUACAAACCAUUCUCAUGAUAUAUACUCCAUAAGAUGAUGUUCAUGUAGAAAUUGGCUCACUGCCUCGCGGGCAUAAAUAUUUGAGAUGUCUCACAAUCUAAUUCAAUCUAUAUAAGUAGGCCAUUCUCAUAAUAUUCUGUUGCUAAUUAUCUAGUCAUUUUAAAAAAAUAACACAGUUAGUCAUUAAAAACACAUUCUCAAAAAAUGUUUGAGAUGCAAUGUUUAGUAAGUAAUGGUGAGUGACAAACGAAAACUAAAUUAAAAGAGAAAUUUAUCAACAGAAACAACUAUUUUAUUAAUUACCUUAUUGAGAAGGCUUAAUUACCCAAACCAACACAACACAAUACAAACAAGACACAAAACUUAUUGUUAAAAAGACACAACAUAAUUAAUUUUCUGUAAACAAACUUACUGUCUUAUUCCAAAGCCUCCUCAUUAUUUAAUACUAAUUAAGAACCACCUCGGAUACUUCAUUUUCCCACAUUAACUUUCACAGAUUCCUCUUGCUUGACGACACUCACAGCUGCCGCUUCUUCUUCUUCGACCUCAGUUUUCGGAGCACUCGACGCAUGAGCAGUUAGCGCAGGAGCGACCUGAGAUGCCUUCACAUUAUGUUCACACUCCUCUUUCUUUGGGGCGGUCGCGGUCUCCUUCUUUGGUGUCGAGGAACAAGAACUCGGCACGUUGCUUCUUGAACAACAUCCAUAAGAAGCCUUCCUGUCACACAUCUUGGUUUCAGCUUUUUCUUGACAAUUCUUUUUGUUUGAGAAAUUAACCUAAGAAUUGCUCUUAGAAUUUUGAGAGCGAAAUGAGCAUUAAUUUAUAGAAGCAUUUGAGACUGCUGAUGUUCUUUCUCUUCAUUAAACUUUAAUGCUGUGAGAAUAGCAUUAAUUUCGAUAAUGAAUCCCAAGCGCCGGAAUUAAAGAUUACUCAGAACCAUAUGCAUGAACCUUUUAAUAAUUAAUUUCAUCAAAUUUUAAGCCGUGCCAACAACAUUUUAAUGAACCCCAUUCGCCAGAAUUAAAAAGAUUGUAUCUCUGCAACUGAGUGCCCAUUAGUAAACAAGAUCAUUUGUCCAUUACCAAAACUUCCCUUUGAUUUGCUGCUUGCGUAUGGCUAUUCCCUUAUAAAUUAUAAUUUCCUUUUCUAGUUUGUAACUCUGUAUACAUUCUUGCAGCAGUGUUAACGAAAGAUGCAAUCUUUUCCGUUCAUUUUCAAUUGCUUAGUGCCAGUCACGAACCUUGCAAGUUCAUGGAUUUUACACCCUACACAUUUUGAUUUUCUUAACCAUCCUCUUAAUAGUUUCUAUUUAAUUGGGUUCCUAAAUUAAUUAAUCUAGGAUUAUAUUUAAGUGCAUGUUGAUGAGGUAUAUAUAACUUAAUAAACUUCACCAGCUAAUUGAUUAAUGCCAUACUUUGUUCUCACAAAAUGUAAAUAAUUUCCAGCUAGCCAACAAGUAGCUUCUAUGUUAAGUGGUACUGAAUAUGGCACACUUACUCAAAUUAAGACCGAGUAAUUCGAACCUCAGCCGGUCAGUCCAACUAAUCUAAACUAACAAAGUAUAAAGAUGGAUUUAUGUUUAAGAAAAUGAGAGCAACUGUAAAAGAAACAUGUAUUAAUUAUGACCAAAAAAGAAAAAUACAACGGUUAUUACGAAACUGAGGCUGCUUUGAACAAACCUGCAGCAACAGUGGUGAAUGAUCGCCUUACAAGUUACAAAUUAAAACAACAAAGCACAAGACUGCUCGACCAUAUCUUAAUCCAAAGGACACAAGAACUCAUCAGGCCUUCUCAAUGAUAACGAUUCGCUGCAUCUAUAUGAUCCAUUAUUUGCCACAGAGAAGGGAACAUGCAUUCAACGAACAUUUGAUGAAUAAGGAACUGGCGCCCCAGCUGCACUCCUCGUAGUAGCAUAGGCGCCAAUUUCCACUGCAUUCAACGAACGAACCGGUGAUGGAGCAGGAGGCGGUUCGGGCUUCUUCACAAUUUGUUCAUUCUGUGGGGAGAUUACAAGAGUUUUGAUCUUCUUUGGUGAGUUCAAGCAUCUUUUUGAACAACUACUACUCUUUUAUUGCAUCUUGAUUCUCAGAUUCUUUAAUUUUCUUUGAGAAUUCUUGCUCAUAUGAAGAAAAGAAUGCAAUGCAUGUACUUUCCAAGUUCAUGAAUUGAAGUACUAAAACCCCACACAUUCGAAUAGUGAUAUAUCAAUAUUCUCACUAAUUAAUAUAGCGUUGAUUAAAUGAAUAAAGAAAUAUAUUGGCCCAAUAAAUUAUCUUUGAUAUUAUAAAAAUAAAUUUAAGACUUUCCAAUGCAAGAGAUACAGAAAGACACCCCAGAAAAAAAUAAAAAUAAAUAAAUAAUGUAGAACUGAGAAAAACAAAUAAACAAACAUGGAACUAAUAAACAAGCAAAUUGGGCGCAUAAAGCUCCAAUGUCCAAAGUAUAUUCAUAAAUGUGUCCAUAAAAAGCCCACAAUAUUUCAAUCCUCUUUGUUCUAAAAAAGCUCAGAUAGUUAAAAUGAGAUUUAAGCAAUGAUCGGCCACACAAAUUUUACAUGCAGCCUUUCUUUCUACUCUUCAGGUCACUUUCCUAAAGCAUAAUCGUCCCUAGAGCUGAAAAUCAAAAUAGAAAGCAGAAAAAUUUUGGAGCAUCUUUACGCCCAAAUUCUCGGGGCUUAUCAUAGCAUUUUCCCCUACAGCUCAUCCUGCAGAUCACACAAAAAAUGGAUCAACGCCUGGAUGCAUAACAAUAAUUAAGAAGAUUCAGAUCUAUCAACAAGUAGGGAAACCUACAUGUACAUCCUUGUCUGCGUCUCCGCUGCUGGAGUCUGAUUUGGUUUCCACAUCAGCAUCAUCAUCAUCUUCAGUGUCAUCGUCAUCAUUAUCCUCAGCCUUAAAACAAGAUUAUCAAGAUUAGGACCAAAAUGAUUGUCAUUUCAUCACUUAUAUCACACUAAUUACAGUUGAUAGAGACUUACAUCAGAAUCAGGUGCGUCCUUUGAUUCCUGUUAACCACAUUUCAGAAAGUUAGCAUAACUGGUAACACAGAAUAGAAUCAAAAAAGUUUUCAACAGAUAAGUUUUCAUCUAGGUAAAUGAUUAUGUCUUUGGAAACUCAGCUAAGUAUGCUCAAAACCCAAUUCCAAAGAAAAAAUGAAAUGUGCAACAAAGUAAUUGAGCAAAAAAGCACC
rnacentral:lncRNA from 1 species